GCCGCGUCGGGCCCACUUCCGCACGCACGGCCCGGGGGCGGGGAGAGCCGGGCUGCGACCCUAGCCGCGGAGAGGCGCUGCCCCCUCGUCUUUAUUAUUCUGAAAAGCAACUGUAAGUUCCUCUCUUCAGUACUAACUGAUAGUGUCUCUUGUGAUCCAAGCAUUCAUGGAUAGCUUUGUUCCAGCAAAUGAUCCCAAUCCAAAGCAAGAAAAGAUCUUUCUAAGAAGGAAAACACAUGUUCCCCUCAAAAAUACAUUUAUUAUCUGAAAGUAUGUUUAAUUUGUAGUGAUUACUAAUCAAAAUAAACUAAAAUAACUAUUGGUACAAGUUUAAGAAAAUCCAAAA